CUCACAAAUGGCAACUGACGUCAAGAAGCUGCGAGUGUAGAUGCUGCUGGGAGGAGCAGUAAAUGGAGAGAGAGAAUCGGUGCCGAUCAAGUAUGAGGUGGAGAGCUGCUGAGUGGGAGGGGCCGCUUCACGGUGAUGGGAACAUCUAAAAACGAGGGCUGAGAGGAAGGGUUUUGAUAUUGAGGAAGAUUCACUCAGCUCGGCCAUUCCCAGCAUGCACUGGGUGGAAAUCAAGAAAGAUGGUGGAUCCAAGAUCACAUUAACUGUAGGUCUUUUACCAGAAAUACAAAAUUCAAAAAGUGCAUCACGUAGAACUCAUUUUGACAUUUUAUGAAUAACACAUUAGAUAAAGUGCAGGCGUAAAUAAUAAAACUCAUGGUGGCCGAAAUCCAUUUAGGCGCACAUUAACUGUGACGCUUCAAUAGAGUGGAUUUAAUUGUUACACCAAACACUACACUGUACUUUAAAAUAAAAAUGGACUCUUCUUGCUUACCAACAAAACUUAACUGGUUGUAAUCUUACAAUUAGGUCAGAGUCACAGUUAAAGGUGUACUACGUAGUUUUGGGAAAUGAACGGAAACUCCAAAAGGUAACAUUCAUAAUUUUAAUAUGUUAGUAAUAAAAGCUAAGAAACAUAUCCAUUUCAUGUAUUUACAUAGCUGAAUCUACUAGUAGUCCUCAGAGUGUAAUAAAGUCCCCAGAAUGCUGUUUAAAGCCAGAAUGGAGGUGACUUGGAGGGGUCCGACAAAUAAGCUUUUUCUCUUCUGUUCAAAAGUAUCUUCCCCAAAACUAAACAGUGCACCUUUAAGUUUUUGCUUCUAAGACACAAGCACUGAUAGAGGACUUAAAGUGUCAAAACACAGAGCGCAACUGCCUCAGAAAUAUAUUAAGUUAUUGUGUCACUUCACACUUUGUCUUCGACACAGAAUCCAAAUCAAGGAACACAUUUUUUUUCCCUUUCUAUUGGACGCCUAAAUCAAUGACUUCAGAUACUCAAGUGACAAUUGCACAAACUAAGG